AGAGUUUGAUCCUGGCUCAGGAUGAACGCUAGCUACAGGCUUAACACAUGCAAGUCGAGGGGCAUCAGGAAGAAAGCUUGCUUUCUUUGCUGGCGACCGGCGCACGGGUGAGUAACACGUAUCCAACCUGCCCUUUACUCGGGGAUAGCCUUUCGAAAGAAAGAUUAAUACCCGAUAGCAUAAUGAUUCCGCAUGGUUUCAUUAUUAAAGGAUUCCGGUAGAGGAUGGGGAUGCGUUCCAUUAGGUUGUUGGUGAGGUAACGGCUCACCAAGCCUUCGAUGGAUAGGGGUUCUGAGAGGAAGGUCCCCCACAUUGGAACUGAGACACGGUCCAAACUCCUACGGGAGGCAGCAGUGAGGAAUAUUGGUCAAUGGGCGCUAGCCUGAACCAGCCAAGUAGCGUGAAGGAUGAAGGCUCUAUGGGUCGUAAACUUCUUUUAUAUAAGAAUAAAGUGCAGUAUGUAUACUGUUUUGUAUGUAUUAUAUGAAUAAGGAUCGGCUAACUCCGUGCCAGCAGCCGCGGUAAUACGGAGGAUCCGAGCGUUAUCCGGAUUUAUUGGGUUUAAAGGGAGCGUAGGUGGACUGGUAAGUCAGUUGUGAAAGUUUGCGGCUCAACCGUAAAAUUGCAGUUGAUACUGUCAGUCUUGAGUACAGUAGAGGUGGGCGGAAUUCGUGGUGUAGCGGUGAAAUGCUUAGAUAUCACGAAGAACUCCGAUUGCGAAGGCAGCUCACUGGACUGCAACUGACACUGAUGCUCGAAAGUGUGGGUAUCAAACAGGAUUAGAUACCCUGGUAGUCCACACAGUAAACGAUGAAUACUCGCUGUUUGCGAUAUACAGUAAGCGGCCAAGCGAAAGCAUUAAGUAUUCCACCUGGGGAGUACGCCGGCAACGGUGAAACUCAAAGGAAUUGACGGGGGCCCGCACAAGCGGAGGAACAUGUGGUUUAAUUCGAUGAUACGCGAGGAACCUUACCCGGGCUUAAAUUGCAGUGGAAUGAUGUGGAAACAUGUCAGUGAGCAAUCACCGCUGUGAAGGUGCUGCAUGGUUGUCGUCAGCUCGUGCCGUGAGGUGUCGGCUUAAGUGCCAUAACGAGCGCAACCCUUAUCUUUAGUUACUAACAGGUUAUGCUGAGGACUCUAGAGAGACUGCCGUCGUAAGAUGUGAGGAAGGUGGGGAUGACGUCAAAUCAGCACGGCCCUUACGUCCGGGGCUACACACGUGUUACAAUGGGGGGUACAGAAGGCAGCUAGCGGGUGACCGUAUGCUAAUCCCAAAAGCCUCUCUCAGUUCGGAUCGAAGUCUGCAACCCGACUUCGUGAAGCUGGAUUCGCUAGUAAUCGCGCAUCAGCCACGGCGCGGUGAAUACGUUCCCGGGCCUUGUACACACCGCCCGUCAAGCCAUGGGAGCCGGGGGUACCUGAAGUACGUAACCGCAAGGAUCGUCCUAGGGUAAAACUGGUGACUGGGGCUAAGUCGUAACAAGGUAGCCGUACCGGAAGGUGCGGCUG
rnacentral:rRNA from 1 species